GCGAAUGGCUCAUUAAAUCAGCUAUGGUUUAUUGGAUCAUACCCGUUAAAUGGAUAACUGUAAUAACUCUAGAGCUAAUACAUGCCACGAUGCCCUGACCCUUUUGGGAAUGGGUGCACUUAUUAGAUCAGAAGCCAACCGUGUAUGUCCGAAAGGAUGUGCAUGUUGACCUUCUGGUGACUCUGGAUAAUUGUUACAGAUCGCAGUCGGCCUUGAGUCGGCGACGGGUCCUUCAAAUGUCUGCCCUAUCAACUUUCGAUGGUAGGUGACCUGCCUACCAUGGUGAUAACGGGUAACGGGGAAUCAGGGUUCGAUUCCGGAGAGGGAGCCUGAGAAACGGCUACCACUUCCAAGGGAGGCAGCAGGCGCGCAAAUUACCCACUCCCGGUACGGGGAGGUGGUGACGAAAAAUACCGAUGCGGGACUCUCAACGAGGCUCCGUAAUCGGAAUGAGUGAACUAUAAAUCCUUUCACGAGGAUCAAUUGGAGGGCAAGUCUGGUGCCAGCAGCCGCGGUAACUCCAGCUCCAAUAGCGUAUAUUAAAGUUGCUGCAGUUAAAAAGCUCGUAGUUGGAUCUCGGUACCACUGUUGCUCGUCAGUCCUUUGGUAGAUGGCUAUGUGCGCAUGGGCUCGACCUGUGUUGCCAUGGCUGUUCUGCCCGAGUUGGCGGUGUGACGGUGUCGCCUUUCAGCCAUGUCUGUGGUGAAAUACCCUCAGGUGUAGGCGAGUGUCGGGUGGUGCCCGGCGUAAGUUGGGUCUGCCGGCUCGUCUGCAUGCCUUUGGAUGCCCUUUAAAAGGUGUCUGUGGGCGGAUGGCACGUUUACUUUGAACAAAUUUGAGUGCUCAAACCAGGCCGAUGUUGCCUGAAAAGUUUUGCAUGGAAUAAUGGAAUAGGACUUCGGUUCUAUUUCGUUGGUUUUCGGAUCCGAAGUAAUGAUCAAAAGAGACAGGCGGGGACGUUUGUAUGGCUGCGCUAGAGGUGAAAUUCAUGGACCGUAGCCAGACAAACUAAAGCGAAAGCAUUCGUCAAGCAUGUUUUCAUUGGCCAUGAGCGAAAGUCAGAGGCUCGAAGACGAUCAGAUACCGUCCUAGUUCUGACCAUAAACGAUGCCAACUGACGAUCCGUGGUGGUAGUUCAUCAACCUUCCCCACGGGCAGUCCCCGGGAAACCUUUAAGUCUUUGGGUUCCGGGGGAAGUAUGGUUGCAAAGCUGAAACUUAAAGGAAUUGACGGAAGGGCACCACCAGGAGUGGAGCCUGCGGCUUAAUUUGACUCAACACGGGAAAACUCACCCGGCCCGGACACUAUGAGGAUUGACAGAUUGAAAGCUCUUUCUUGAUUUGGUGGUUGGUGGUGCAUGGCCGUUCUUAGUUGGUGGAGCGAUUUGUCUGGUUAAUUCCGAUAACGAACGAGACUCCUGCCUGCUAAUUAGUGCACUUGUCAACUGUACUUGUGUAGGCGGUGUUUGGCGAAGCUGCACUCGUAAGCUGCUAGGAUCCGCGGGUUUUCCCGCGUCUGAGUAGUGAGUGCGGCCGGUCCGGCACUAGCUUCCGGGUGCGGAGCGGGUGUCUACUUCUUAGAGGGACAAGCGGGAGAAGCCGCACGAAAUGGAGCAAUAACAGGUCUGUGAUGCCCUUAGAUGUCCGGGGCCGCACGCGCGCUACAAUGACGGUGGCAAUGAGUCUGACCUUCUGGCCCGAAAGGGUUGGGCAAACUGGUCAAUCACCGUCAUGACAGGGAUCGGGGCUUGGAAUUGUUCCCCGUGAACGAGGAAUUCCUAGUAAGUGCAAGUCAUAAGCUUGCGCUGAUUACGUCCCUGCCCUUUGUACACACCGCCCGUCGCUACUACCGAUUGAAUGGUUUAGCAAGGUCCUUGGAUUGGCGCCAUUGUGGUGGUUUGCCGAAAGGUACUCUGCCCGACAGGUGCUGAGAAGACGACCAAACUUGAUCAUUUAGAGGAAGUAAAAGUCGUAACAAG
rnacentral:rRNA from 1 species